CCUACGGGAGGCUGCAGUGGGGAAUAUUGGACAAUGGGGGCAACCCUGAUCCAGCCAUGCCGCGUGUGUGAAGAAGGCCCUCGGGUUGUAAAGCACUUUCAGUGAGGAAGAACGCCUGGUGGUUAAUACCCAUCAGGAAAGACAUCACUCACAGAAGAAGCACCGGCUAACUCCGUGCCAGCAGCCGCGGUAAUACGGAGGGUGCGAGCGUUAAUCGGAAUUACUGGGCGUAAAGCGCGCGUAGGUGGCUUGAUAAGCCGGUUGUGAAAGCCCCGGGCUGAACCUGGGAACGGCAUCCGGAACUGUCAAGCUAGAGUGCAGGAGAGGAAGGUAGAAUUCCCGGUGUAGCGGUGAAAUGCGUAGAGAUCGGGAGGAAUACCAGUGGCGAAGGCGGCCUUCUGGACUGACACUGACACUGAGGUGCGAAAGCGUGGGUAGCAAACAGGAUUAGAUACCCUAGUAGUC
rnacentral:rRNA from 1 species